rnacentral:rRNA from 1 species
UGCAGUCGAGCGGAACGAUGUAGCUUGCUACAGGCGUCGAGCGGCGGACGGGUGAGUAACGCGUAGGAACCUACCUAAUAGUUUGGGAUAGCCAUUGGAAACGAUGAUUAAUACCGGAUACGCCCUACGGGGGAAAGCAGAGGACCUUCGGGCUUUGCGCUAUUAGAUGGGCCUGCGUAAGAUUAGCUAGUUGGUGAGGUAAUGGCUCACCAAGGCGACGAUCUUUAGCUGGUCUGAGAGGAUGAUCAGCCACACUGGAACUGAGACACGGUCCAGACUCCUACGGGAGGCAGCAGUGGGGAAUAUUGCACAAUGGGCGCAAGCCUGAUGCAGCCAUGCCGCGUGUGUGAAGAAGGCUCUAGGGUUGUAAAGCACUUUCAGUCGGGAGGAAAGGUUAUCAGUUAAUACCUGGUAGCUGUGACGUUACCGACAGAAGAAGCACCGGCUAACUCCGUGCCAGCAGCCGCGGUAAUACGGAGGGUCCGAGCGUUAAUCGGAAUUACUGGGCGUAAAGCGUACGUAGGUGGUUUGUUAAGUUGGAUGUGAAAGCCCAGGGCUCAACCUUGGAACUGCAUUCAAAACUGAUGAACUA